GUUACGGCGGUCAUAGCGUGGGGGAAACGCCCGGUUCCAUUCCGAACCCGGAAGCUAAGGCCCACAGCGCCGAUGGUACUGCAACCGGGAGGUUGUGGGAGAGUAGGUCGCCGCCGGACAU
rnacentral:rRNA from 2 species